AGCAGUGUAGUCUAGUGGAGAGCUCAGGACUGGGAAUCAGAGGACCUGGGUUCUAUCCCCUGCUCUGCUG
rnacentral:tRNA from 1 species